UACGAAGGGGGCUAGCGUUGCUCGGAAUUACUGGGCGUAAAGGGCGCGUAGGCGGCACUGUUAGUCAGGCGUGAAAUUCCUGGGCUCAACCUGGGGACUGCGCUUGAUACGGCAGAGCUUGAGGAUGGAAGAGGGUCGCGGAAUUCCCAGUGUAGAGGUGAAAUUCGUAGAUAUUGGGAAGAACACCGGUGGCGAAGACGGCGACCUGGUCCAUUACUGACGCUGAGGCGCGACAGCGUGGGGAGCAAACAGG
rnacentral:rRNA from 1 species